UACAGAGGUCUCAAGCGUUGUUCGGAUUCAUUGGGCGUAAAGGGUGUGUAGGUGGCGCGCUAAGUCGGGUGUGAAAUUUCGGAGCUUAACUCCGAAACUGCAUUCGAUACUGGCGUGCUUGAGGACUGGAGAGGAGACUGGAAUUCAUGGUGUAGCAGUGAAAUGCGUAGAGAUCAUGAGGAAGACCAGUGGCGAAGGCGGGUCUCUGGACAGUUCCUGACGCUGAGGCACGAGGGUCAGGGGAGCAAACAGG
rnacentral:rRNA from 1 species